UUAACAUUUAUAAUCAAUAAAAAGGGCUAAAGGGAUGUGUUAAAUAGACCCCAUAAAGUCAUCCUACAACUGAUGUUGAUACUGGACUGUAUGGAUGGUAGCUACAGAACAUGCUAUGAUACUGGACUGUAUGGAUGGUAGCUACAGGACAUG